UAUAGUUGUAAGUUAUGUAUUCUAUACCUAGUUUUUCUACUGACUGUAUGAUGAAUGCUGCUCCUACAUUUAUAAAUCUGUCAUGAAACUUUUCUUUAUCAAUUAAAUUGUUUUGUUUUUUUUGUUACACAACUGACAUUAUCAUGUUUGCUUAUAAAAUGUACUAAUCUUUCCCUUCAAUCUUGCUAAAAAUAACCUUUCCCAUCUCAAGUUUUUAAAACAUUUCUAUUGUAAUGACUAUGUCUUGUCAUUUUUUAUGGGGCAAACUUAUACUUUUGGGUAUUUUAUUGCAUAGAAUUAAUAUUAAGACUGCUUUUUAAAAUCCCAUUUAGAGAUUGGAAAAUAUUCUUUUGCAUUCAAAACAGAUUUGUGUUAAUUAAAUGAAACUAUGACCAGGGCACCUUCAAUUACAUUUGAAUUAAAUAUCUAUGCAGUAUAAUUAAAGUAGCAAUUUUUUUCUGUGGCCAGAUGAGAUUAUUCCCUUUGACUUGAUGACCUAAUCCACAUAAAACUUUGGUUUGACUAUAUCCUUGGGUUUGUAUCCUACUUGUAAAUCAGUUUGUCUCUCUUACUGUGUGUGUUUUUUAAAUGAACAGUGUUUUCAAAUUUCACAAUUAUAUAUUUUUUUAAAGGAAUGUGUUGUUUAUGCCUUUGUAAAAAUGUCAAGUUAUGUACCGUUAUUUUGUAUAAAAAUAUAAUGUUCAGUAUGAUUAUUUGUUCUCAUACAAUGAAAAUGUAAGAAGAAUAGAAAUAAACAUAUUGUUUUAGAAAAAAA